rnacentral:rRNA from 1 species
GACAGAGGUUGCAAGCGUUGUUCGGAAUUACUGGGCAUAAAGCGCACGUAGGCGGUCCGCUAAGUCAUGUGUGAAAUCCCCCGGCUCAACCGGGGAAUGGCGCCUGAUACUGGCGGACUCGAGAUCGGUAGGGGUGAGUGGAACUCCAGGUGGAGCGGUGAAAUGCGUAGAUAUCUGGAGGAACACCGGUGGCGAAAGCGACUCACUGGACCGACACUGACGCUGAGGUGCGAAAGCGUGGGGAGCGAACAGG